AAGUCGUAACAAGGUUUCCGUAGGUGAACCUGCGGAAGGAUCAUUAAAAAUUGAUUCCAUCAAAAUCAUGUGAACUUAAACACCGCCCCCACUGCCUUGGGGAAUUUGGUAAAAUCGGUUUGCGCCGACGCUACCUUUGCUACGAGUCCGCGCUACCUUCGGGUAGGGCUAAGUUAGGGUCAUUCGACACUAGCGCGGUCGACGAGUAGCGGUUCCCCUAGGUAUGGAUUUAUUUACUUUUUGCUUCAAUUAUGGCUAAACCUAGUCGGAUUGUGGGUACGGGUAAUGCCGCCUCAUCGACACUAAAGUUAUUACAACUUUCAGCAAUGGAUCUCUCGGCUCUU
rnacentral:misc_RNA from 1 species